rnacentral:rRNA from 1 species
UACGAAGGGGGCUAGCGUUGUUCGGAUUUACUGGGCGUAAAGCGCACGUAGGCGGGUCGUUAAGUCAGGGGUGAAAUCCCGGAGCUCAACUCCGGAACUGCCUUUGAUACUGGCGACCUUGAGGCUGGAAGAGGUUAGUGGAAUUCCCAGUGUAGAGGUGAAAUUCGUAGAUAUUGGGAAGAACACCAGUGGCGAAGGCGGCUAGCUGGUCCAGAUCUGACGCUGAGGUGCGAAAGCGUGGGGAGCAAACAGG